AGGGUUUGAUUCUGGCUCAGGAUGAACGCUGGCGGCGUGCCUAACACAUGCAAGUCGAACGAAGCAGUUGAGAGGAAGUUUUCGGAUGGAAUCUUAAUUGACUGAGUGGCGGACGGGUGAGUAACACGUGGAUGAUCUGCCUCACACAGGGGGAUAACAGUUAGAAAUGGCUGCUAAUACCGCAUAAGCGCACAGUGCUGCAUGGCACAGUGUGAAAAACUCCGGUGGUGUGAGAUGAGUCCGCGUCUGAUUAGCUAGUUGGUAGGGUAAGGGCCUACCAAGGCGACGAUCAGUAGCCGACCUGAGAGGGUGACCGGCCACAUUGGGACUGAGACACGGCCCAA
rnacentral:rRNA from 1 species